CCUACGGGUGUCAGCAGUGGGGAAUAUUGGGCAAUGGGCGCAAGCCUGACCCAGCAACGCCGCGUGAAGGAAGAAGGCUUUCGGGUUGUAAAAUUCUUUUCUGAGGGACGAAGAAAGUGACGGUACCUCAGGAAUAAGCCACGGCUAACUACGUGCCAGCAGCCGCGGUAAUACGUAGGGGGCAAGCGUUAUCCGGAUUUAUUGGGUGUAAAGGGCGUGUAGGCGGGAAAGCAAGGCAGAUGUGAAAACUCAGGGCUCAACCCUGGGCCUGCAUUUGAAACUGUUUUUCUUGAGUGCUGGAGAGGCAAGCGGAAUUCCGGGUGUAGCGGUGAAAUGCGUAGAUAUACGGAGGAACACCAGUGGCGAAGGCGGAUUGCUGGACAGUAACUGACGCUGAGGCGCGAAAGCGUGGGGAGCAAACAGGAUUAGAUACCCCGGUAGUC
rnacentral:rRNA from 1 species